rnacentral:rRNA from 1 species
CAUGCCGUAAACGUUGGGCACUAGGUGUGGGUCCCUCUCAACGGGAUCCGUGCCGUAGCUAACGCAUUAAGUGCCCCGCCUGGGGAGUACGGCCGCAAGGCUAAAACUCAAAGGAAUUGACGGGGGCCCGCACAAGCGGCGGAGCAUGUUGCUUAAUUCGAUGCAACGCGAAGAACCUUACCUGGGCUUGACAUGUAUGGAAAAGCCAUAGAGAUAUGGUGUCCUUCGGGGCCAUACACAGGUGG